rnacentral:tRNA from 1 species
UCCCCAGUGGCUCAGUGGUAAAGAAUCUGCCUGCAAUGCAGGAGACAUGGGUUUGAUCCUUGGCUUGGGAA